GUCGUAACAAGGUUUCCGUAGGUGAACCUGCGGAAGGAUCAUUAUUGAAAUAAACCUGAUGGGUUGUUGCUGGCUCUCUAGGGAGCAUGUGCACGCCUUGUCAUCUUUAUAUCUCCACCUGUGCACUUUUUGUAGACCUGAAAAGGUCUAUGUUGCUUCAUUUUACCCCAAUGUAUGUCUAUAGAAUGUUGUGCCUAUGAUAAUAUAUACAACUUUCAGCAACGGAUCUCUUGGCUCUCGCAUCGAUGAAGAACGCAGCGAAAUGCGAUAAGUAAUGUGAAUUGCAGAAUUCAGUGAAUCAUCGAAUCUUUGAACGCACCUUGCGCUCCUUGGUAUUCCGAGGAGCAUGCCUGUUUGAGUGUCAUUAAUAUAAUCAACCUUCAACUUGUUUGAGUGGUUUGGAUGUGGGGGUUUGCUGGCCUCUCAAAAGGUUUCAGCUCCUCUGAAAUGCAUUAGCAGAACAAACCUUGUUCAUUGGUGUGAUAACUAUCUACGCUUAUGAAUGUGAGGGGCAGUUCAGCUUUCUAAUCGUCUUUGGACAAUUCAUCAUUAAUGUGACCUCAAAUCAGGUAGGACUACCCGCUGAACUUAAGCAUAUCAAUAAGCGGAGGAAAAGAAACUAACAAGGAUUCCCCUAGUAACUGCGAGUGAAGCGGGAAAAGCUCAAAUUUAAAAUCUGGCGGUC
rnacentral:rRNA from 1 species